UACGAAGGGGGCUAGCGUUGUUCGGAAUUACUGGGCGUAAAGCGCACGUAGGCGGACUACUAAGUCAGGGGUGAAAUCCCGGGGCUCAACCCCGGAACUGCCUUUGAUACUGAUAGUCUCGAGUCCGGAAGAGGUGAGUGGAAUUCCGAGUGUAGAGGUGAAAUUCGUAGAUAUUCGGAGGAACACCAGUGGCGAAGGCGGCUCACUGGUCCGGUACUGACGCUGAGGCGCGAAAGCGUGGGGAGCGAACGGG
rnacentral:rRNA from 1 species